rnacentral:pre_miRNA from 1 species
CAACUACUCUCUCCGUUUCAUAAUUCUUGUCGAAAUAUUACAUCUAUUUAGACGGUUUUUAAGAAUAGAUACAUUCAUUUUUAGACAAAUUUGAGACUAGAAUUAUGAAACGGAGGGAGUAUCUG